rnacentral:rRNA from 1 species
UGGGGAAUAUUGCACAAUGGGCGAAAGCCUGAUGCAGCAACGCCGCGUGAGGGAAGACGGUUUUCGGAUUGUAAACCUCUGUUUUCGGUGACGAACAAAUGACGGUAACCGAGUAGGAAGCCACGGCUAACUACGUGCCAGCAGCCGCGGUAAUACGUAGGUGGCAAGCGUUGUCCGGAAUUACUGGGUGUAAAGGGAGCGCAGGCGGGAGCGCAAGUUGGAUGUGAAAUACCGCAGCUUAACUGCGGAGCUGCAUCCAAAACUGUGUUUCUUGAGUGAAGUAGAGGUAGGCGGAAUUCCGAGUGUAGCGGUGAAAUGCGUAGAUAUUCGGAGGAACACCGGUGGCGAAGGCGGCCUACUGGGCUUUUACUGACGCUGAGGCUCGAAAGUGUGGGAGCAAACAGGAUUAGAUACCCUGGUAGU